UACAAGGCUAGAUAGGGCCCUGGGAUGAGGCACCUGUGACAGGGAGGGGUGCAAAACCAAGGAGCUGGCUAGACUCACCUUAACAUGGUUUUGCACCCCUCCCUGUCACAGGUGCCUCAUCCCAGGGCCCUAUUUAGCCUUGUACU
rnacentral:miRNA from 1 species